UCAACCUGGAUUAGGCUUCUCCAGAAAUUUCCCUUUGAAUUUCCUUUGCUUUCUAAAAAGCCAAACCAGCUCCUGCAGGAGAGGAAUAUGAGCUCCAGCAAAGCCAUAUAGCUCCACAUCAUCUCUUUAACAGAUCAUGCCAUCUCUUCAUACAGACCCACACCGUCUCUUCCAAAAUGCUGGAGUGCUGGAAGGCAGAAACUUGAGCCUUUCUCUGCUGUCUCGAGGGGCUCAGAGGAGAUGGUGAAGGAGAGACCUUACAGCAAAACCAAAGGCCGUGAUCCACUUGAGCCCCAGAAGGCAACACCCCGCAUCCUGCAUUACUGAACAACUCCAGUCCUGGAUGUAGGAUGAGCCCACAGCCAGACAACAGUACACAGCUUUGUUUCUAUACCUGAGCAGAAAAACCCAGCCUUCCUCUGCCUGCCACAAACAGAUGCACAUGGACAAGCCCAGCCGUCCUCCACCUGCAACCAACAGAUGCACAGCGCUAGCGAGAAGAAGCUGGGCGCAGGAUUCAGGAUGACAUAAUGAUGGAUUAUAACGGAAUGAGGAGCCUGUGUCCUCUGUCUUGGCUGAGAGGAGUGAAACCUGAUGUGAUCAUCUGCUGUUGUAGCCCAACUGCCUUAAAUUUUGUCGUGUUCACCAAAUCACUGCAUGCUUCUUUCUCUGUUCCAGCACAUCUUCACAAAGAAAGCUAAUCUCAGAAGGCCUGCCCAUUGCCACACUGGAGGCAGACACCGAGACGGUUAUUCCCUCCAACUGUCGCCAGCUCCCAUGCCAUUCAUUCUCAACAAAAUGGAUGUUUUAUUGUAAUCAAAUGAACA